AGUAACGGCGAGUGAAGCGGGAAGAGCUCAAAUUUAAAAUCUGGCGGUGUAUUCCGUCCGAGUUGUAGUCUAGAGAAGCAUCAUCCGUGCUGGACCAUGUACAAGUCUCUUGGAACAGAGCGUCAUAGAGGGUGAGAAUCCCGUCCUUGACAUGGACUCCCAGUCCUUUGUGUUGUGCUCUCAACGAGUCGAGUUGUUUGGG
rnacentral:rRNA from 1 species